CCUACGGGAGGCAGCAGUGGGGAAUAUUGGGCAAUGGGCGCAAGCCUGACCCAGCAACGCCGCGUGAAGGAAGAAGGCUUUCGGGUUGUAAACUUCUUUUAAGAGGGAAGAGCAGAAGACGGUACCUCUUGAAUAAGCCACGGCUAACUACGUGCCAGCAGCCGCGGUAAUACGUAGGUGGCAAGCGUUAUCCGGAUUUACUGGGUGGAAAGGGCGUGUAGCCGGGGUGACAAGUCAGAUGUGAAAUCCCGGGGCUCAACCCCGGACCUGCGUUUGAAACUGUUGGUCUGGAGGGUCGGAGGGGCAGGCGGAAUUCCUGGUGUAGCGGUGAAAUGCGUAGAUAUUAGGAGGAACACCAGUGGCGAAGGCGGACUGCUGGACUGCAACUGACGGUGAGGCGCGAAAGCGUGGGGAGCAAACAGGAUUAGAUACCCGAGUAGUC
rnacentral:rRNA from 1 species